rnacentral:rRNA from 1 species
UGCGUAGGCGGCGCGGUAAGUCGGGUGUGAAAUCUCGGAGCUUAACUCCGAAACUGCAUUCGAUACUGCCGUGCUGGAGGACUGGAGAGGAGACUGGAAUUUACGGUGUAGCGGUGAAAUGCGUAGAUAUCGUAAGGAAGACCAAUGGCGAAGGCGGGUCUCUGGACAGUUCCUGACGCUGAGGCACGAAGGGUCAGGGAAGGCAAACG